rnacentral:rRNA from 1 species
UACGUAGGCAGCAAGCGUUGUUCGGAGUUACUGGGCGUAAAGGGUGCGUAGGCGGUCCUAUAAGUAUGGUGUGAAAUCUCCCGGCUUAACUGGGAGGGUGCGCUAUAGACUGUGGGACUAGAGUCCGGAAGAGGAGAGUGGAAUUCCUGGUGUAGCGGUGAAAUGCGCAGAUAUCAGGAAGAACACCCGUGGCUAAGGCGGCUCUCUAGUACGGUACUGACGCUGAGACGCGAAAGCGUGGGGAGCGAACAGG